GACGAACGCUGGCGGCGUGCUUAACACAUGCAAGUCGAACGGUAAGGCCCUUCGGGGUACACGAGUGGCGAACGGGUGAGUAACACGUGGGUGAUCUGCCCUGCACUUCGGGAUAAGCCUGGGAAACUGGGUCUAAUACCGGAUAGGACCACUGCCUGCAUGGGUGGUGGUGGAAAGCUUUUGCGGUGUGGGAUGGGCCCGCGGCCUAUCAGCUUGUUGGUGGGGUGAUGGCCUACCAAGGCGACGACGGGUAGCCGGCCUGAGAGGGUGACCGGCCGCACUGGGACUGAGAUACGGGCCAGAAUCCUACGGGAGGCAGCAGUGGGGAAUAUUGCACAAUGGGCGCAAGCCUGAUGCAGCGACGCCGCGUGAGGGAUGACGGCCUUCGGGUUGUAAACCUCUUUCAGCACCGACGAAGCGCAAGUGACGGUAGGUGCAGAAGAAGGACCGGCCAACUACGUGCCAGCCGCCGCAGUAA
rnacentral:rRNA from 1 species